GGGGCUGAUUCUGGAUUCGACGGGAUUUGCGAAACCCAAGGUGCAUGCCGAGGGGAGGUUGGCCUCGUAAAAAGCCGCAAAAAAUAGUCGCAAACGACGAAAACUACGCUUUAGCAGCUUAAUAACCUGCUUAGAGCCCUCUCUCCCUAGCCUCCGCUCUUAGGACGGGGAUCAAGAGAGGUCAAACCCAAAAGAGAUCGCGUGGAAGCCCUGCCUGGGGUUGAAGCGUUAAAACUUAAUCAGGCUAGUUUGUUAGUGGCGUGUCCGUCCGCAGCUGGCAAGCGAAUGUAAAGACUGACUAAGCAUGUAGUACCGAGGAUGUAGGAAUUUCGGACGCGGGUUCAACUCCCGCCAGCUCCACCA
rnacentral:tmRNA from 1 species